UUUCAAGCAUUGAUAAGUUUGAAGUAGUGUUUUCAUUCCCUGUUAAGAGAGCUAGCGGUUGGUGCAAGCUAGUCAAAGUGAAAUGCACGAAUUACGUUCUUGGAGCUUGAACGUCAUUGUCGCGAUAUGACAAAGAAUGAGUGGAAGAAGGAUAUCUUCUUCAAGCCGGGUGGUACCGCGUUAUACUGAUAUUAACGUCCCUGCA
rnacentral:ncRNA from 1 species